UUCCGAAAGGGUUUCCACGUAAAAUUUAUGUGUUCUUUAUUUUUAUUUAUUUUAUUCUAUUUUAUUCUAUUUUAUUUUUCACACGAACUUAUUGCGAUCCGAAUCGAAAAGGCUCGUGGAAAAGCUACCGAAGUUUCUCAUAUCGGUAUUCAAGUUCUGGUUUGCGCUGCAAUCAAAGAGAUGGAAGAUUUUCGGAUUGAAGAUUUAGAGUGGGAUACAUUGAAAAAGUGGGGGGCAACUCUCAAUAUGGCUAAGCAACUUGGUUUUCAAGUGGUAUUUGCUGAUAAUCUGUUGAAGACCAAGUUGCUUGCCUACUUUGCUACUCAAAAACUAUUAGAUGCGACUGAAAAAAAAAGUCUUCAUUUUUCAUGAAGUACCCAUGUUCAACACACAGAUAGGUGGAUACGACUCUCUGAAUAUUCUUUUAAGUAUAUAGAAAAACUUAGAAAAGCUAAUCACACCCAUGACAGAUAAAUAUCUAUAUCCAAAACUCGCACCUAAAUUCAAGUAAUAUAAUUGUAUUGCGUUUGGAUAUUUUGUUGUGUUAUAACCAUAUUUUGAGAGGUGGUGUAUUUGCAUGAAACUUUGAUAGGUUAAUAAUUUCUAUUACAUAGAUUUGGAGACAUUGAUAUGUUUCAUGUUGAUGUUAUUUUUCGGUUUAAAUAUGCGAAAGUUUUAUACUCUUUCGAAAGUUAAAA